rnacentral:rRNA from 1 species
UACCCGCAGCACAAGUGGUGGUCAUUAUUAUUGGGCCUAAAGCGUCCGUAGCUGGCUUGUUAGAUGCCUGGGUAAAUCGAUGCGCUCAACGCAUCGAACUCCGGGUAGACCGGCAAGCUUGGGACCGGGAGAGGCGUGAGCUACUCGAGGGGUAGGGGUAAAAUCCUGUAAUCCUUCGGGGAGGACCAGUGGCGAAGGCGUCACGCUAGAACGGCUCCGACAGUGAGGGACGAAGCCCUGGGGUGCAAACCGG